GGGGAAUUUUGGACAAUGGGGGCAACCCUGAUCCAGCCAUGCCGCGUGAGUGAAGAAGGCCUUCGGGUUGUAAAGCUCUUUCGGACGGAAAGAAAACGGAUGGGUUAAUACCCUGUUCGGAUGACGGUACCGUCAUAAGAAGCACCGGCUAACUCUGUGCCAGCAGCCGCGGUAAUACAGAGGGUGCGAGCGUUAAUCGGAUUUACUGGGCGUAAAGCGUGCGUAGGCGGCUUUUUAAGUCGGAUGUGAAAUCCCCGAGCUUAACUUGGGAAUUGCAUUCGAUACUGGGAAGCUAGAGUAUGGGAGAGGAUGGUAGAAUUCCAGGUGUAGCGGUGAAAUGCGUAGAGAUCUGGAGGAAUACCGAUGGCGAAGGCAGCCAUCUGGCCUAAUACUGACGCUGAGGUACGAAAGCAUGGGGAGCAAACA
rnacentral:rRNA from 1 species